UUGAGUGAAAACAUUUGCUGUCAACAGCCAGUUCCACUGUACUAAGCCAGUCUAACAGAUGUGCACUCACCCAAAGACUUAUGCAGCUGCUACUGCUGCCGCUGUGUGUGUGUGUGUGUGUGUGUGUGUGUGUGUGCGUGCGUGCGUGCGUGCGUGUGUGUGUGUGUGUGUGUGUGUGUGUGUGUGUCUGUUUACGCACAGUUCAGCAGGGUUUAUGGGUAUGAGAGCAUGUGCGCUUUCAUAACUUAAAAAAAAAAUCACCAUAAAUAAACACCCCCCCCCUCCACAAAUCUGUUCUCAUUAGAUUUGAUGUUGAUUGCAUUACGCAUAUGAACACAUUCUUGGCCAUUGUCCGCAUCCCCUGGGCCGAGUGGAGCCUCGCGUUGGACCGUGCCGGGCCUGGCCUCCGGAACCCUCUUUGCCCUGGGAGAUGGAUUCAAGGGGCCGGGGGGGCAUCGUGCAGCCCGGUUUAGCCUCUCAUUCUGGUUCAGGGCACCUGGGUGGAUGCCCCACCCCCCUCCCCCGGGGCCGGGGGGACGAGCCAGGCUCCACCGCCGGCUGUUUGUUUCACCAGCAUCCCAAAAGUGGAAAUCAAGGGCGUCCCAGCACCUCUGCUCCAGUGCAGCUUCCCAGUUCUCCCACACCAGUCGGGAGGAAGGACCAGCAUGCACCUGGUGGACCUGCCGCCCUGUGAGCCGGUCACAUCAAACAAAUCAAGGAAUCCAUUUCUUGUUCUUCGCCACUUCAUCCUUAUUGAAUCACCGCGUUAGAAUUGAAAUGAACGCACCAGGGGACAAGGUGAUUUGUAGCAGGGUCUAAUGAAGACAGACGGAGCUGGUUCUGCAGGUGGAGGAAAAAGCUCAACAAGUAUGAAAAUGGAGUUUGACUGAGUAUAUUUCAGGCAUUGUGAUAAAUGGAGUAAAAGAUUUAUAUUAAAAUACAAAACUGAAAAUAUAUACUCUAAUGUCUAAACUUCAGUAAGUUCAGUAGCUGAGUUUAUGUUCCUUCUUCUUUUCUUUACGGCACUGUUGCUGCUGGAGUCGUGUGCGUUUUCAUCUGAGCAAACAUGCGGAAUAAAAAGUGGAAUUAAAUGAGAAUGUCCA
rnacentral:lncRNA from 1 species